AAAGGUCUAGUCAGGUUUCAAUUUUUCUGCCCACCAACUGUUUGAUGAUAUUAAUCUCAUCAACAUUUUAGCUUUUGCUUAUGAACAUAAUCGUCGAUUAAGUAUUUUUUUACCUUCGAUCUCGAAUGUUAGUUUUUCGUACAUACAUCAGUAAAUAAAUAUGGAUGAAUUGUUUUUUCGGUAUAUACUUAUCUCUGUUAUGGUUUUAAGAUUACCAUGUUUUCUUCUUU
rnacentral:lncRNA from 1 species